rnacentral:rRNA from 1 species
AGAAUCAACGCUGGCGGCGCGCCUAACACAUGCAAGUCGAACGAGAAAGUGGAGCAAUCCAUGAGUAAAGUGGCGUACGGGUGAGUAACACGUGGAUCAUCUACCUUUUAGUGAGGAAUAACCAUGGGAAACCGUGGCUAAUACCGCAUAAGCCCGAGAGGGGAAAGUCGCAAGACGCUGAAAGAGGAGUCUGCGGCCGAUUAGCUAGUUGGCAGGGUAAAAGCCUACCAAGGCAAAGAUCGGUAGCCGGCCUGAGAGGGCACACGGCCACACUGGCACUGAAACACGGGCCAGACUCCUACGGGAGGCAGCAGUGGGGAAUCUUGCACAAUGGGGGAAACCCUGAUGCAGCGACGCCGCGUGAGCGAUGAAGCCCUUCGGGGUGUAAAGCUCUUUCGUCAGGGAAGAUAGUGACGGUACCUGGAGAAGCAGCUGCGGCUAACUACGUGCCAGCAGCCGCGGUAAUACGUAGGCAGCGAGCGUUGUUCGGAGUUACUGGGCGUAAAGGGUGUGUAGGCGGUUGUUUAAGUUUGGUGUGAAAUCUCCCGGCUUAACUGGGAGGGUGCGCCGAAUACUGAAUGACUUCGAGUGCGGGAGAGGAAAGUGGAAUUCCUGGUGUAGCGGUGAAAUGCGUAGAUAUCAGGAGGAACACCGGUGGUGUAGACGGCUUUCUGGACCGUAACUGACGCUGAGACACGAAAGCGUGGGUAGCAAACAGGAUUAGAUACCCUGGUAGUCCACGCCCUAAACGAUGCAUAUUUGGUGUGGGCAGUUCAUUCUGUCCGUGCCGGAGCUAGCGCGUUAAAUAUGCCGCCUGGGGAGUACAGUCGCAAGGCUGAA